UGAAAAGGCUCAUUGCUUUGUGAGAAUGCUUGCUACUCAAAACCUAGCACUGCAUGGAACUUCAGAUCAGCUGUAUGUGCCAAACAAUGGAAACUUCCUUAAAAUUGUGGAGCUGAUGGCUAAGUUUGAUGCUGUACUGCAGGAGCAUCUUAGAAGAGUCACCACCAAAGAAAUGGACUGCUGAAUGGCU